AGCGGAUGAUUCAGCAAGUUCCACACCAGCUCUGCCGUUGCUACUAAAAUGAAAUCAAGAACUAAUGGGGUCCCUAGAGGUCAGAAGGCAAAAGAUUUUCAGGUUGAGGGACCAAAUUGGAUUCUGAUUGCAGGUGGUGCCUUGUUAAGUACUUUAUCAAUUCGCCUUGGUUACAAGCUGAAGCAGACACUGGAUUCAAAGCAACAGACAAAUGCUAGUAAUAGUCUGAAAGGGAAUGGGAAAUCAUCUGACAGAAGGAGGGUAGGAGGCUGCCAUAUGCGUUCAAACGUGUAUUCCUUUGCACAAGAUGAUGAUGGUUGCUUCCACUGCAUGUCAGGGAAUGAAGGCAUGGCAGAUUUUAAGCACCGGCCCAGUCAUCAGACGCUGUCUGAAUCUGAUGUUGCUCUUCCUUUGGUGACUGUUCCUGGCCCAGAAUUUACCAAGGAGAAUGGUGUUAUGUGGGUAUCCUCUCCUGAUCGUCUUGAGUUGCCUCCAAAGCCGUUUUACCAUUCAAAUUGCUCUGACUCACCAUGUGUCUCAGAAUCUGGUUCUGACAUCUACAACAAGCGAGAAGUAAUACAGAAGUUAAGGCAGCAGUUGAAGAGAAGGGAUGACAUGAUAAUGGAGAUGCAGGAUCA
rnacentral:misc_RNA from 1 species